CAGUCGCCGCGGGAAUACAGAGGGUGCAAGCGUUAAUCGGAAUUACUGGGCGUAAAGCGCGCGUAGGUGGUUUGUUAAGUUGGAUGUGAAAGCCCCGGGCUCAACCUGGGAACUGCAUCCAAAACUGGCAAGCUAGAGUACGGUAGAGGGUGGUGGAAUUUCCUGUGUAGCGGUGAAAUGCGUAGAUAUAGGAAGGAACACCAGUGGCGAAGGCGACCACCUGGACUGAUACUGACACUGAGGUGCGAAAGCGUGGGGAGCAAACAGGAUUAGAGACCCGCGUAGUCCCUGUCUCUUAUAC
rnacentral:rRNA from 1 species